rnacentral:rRNA from 1 species
GCUGUGAGCUCGAUGAGUAGGGCGGGACACGUGGUAUCCUGUCUGAAUAUGGGGGGACCAUCCUCCAAGGCUAAAUACUCCUGACUGACCGAUAGUGAACCAGUACCGUGAGGGAAAGGCGAAAAGAACCCCGGCGAGGGGAGUGAAAAAGAACCUGAAACCGUGUACGUACAAGCAGUGGGAGCCUCUUUAUGGGGUGACUGCGUACCUUUUGUAUAAUGGGUCAGCGACUUAUAUUCUGUAGCAAGGUUAACCGAAUAGGGGAGCCGAAGGGAAACCGAGUCUUAACUGGGCGUUAAGUUGCAGGGUAUAGACCCGAAACCCGGUGAUCUAGCCAUGGGCAGGUUGAAGGUUGGGUAACACUAACUGGAGGACCGAACCGACUAAUGUUGAAAAAUUAGCGGAUGACUUGUGGCUGGGGGUGAAAGGCCAAUCAAACCGGGAGAUAGCUGGUUCUCCCCGAAAGCUAUUUAGGUAGCGCCUCGUGAAUUCAUCUCCGGGGGUAGAGCACUGUUUCGGCAAGGGGGUCAUCCCGACUUACCAACCCGAUGCAAACUGCGAAUACCGGAGAAUGUUAUCACGGGAGACACACGGCGGGUGCUAACGUCCGUCGUGAAGAGGGAAACAACCCAGACCGCCAGCUAAGGUCCCAAAGUCAUGGUUAAGUGGGAAACGAUGUGGGAAGGCCCAGACAGCCAGGAUGUUGGCUUAGAAGCAGCCAUCAUUUAAAGAAAGCGUAAUAGCUCACUGGUCGAGUCGGCCUGCGCGGAAGAUGUAACGGGGCUAAACCAUGCACCGAAGCUGCGGCAGCGACGCUUAUGCGUUGUUGGGUAGGGGAGCGU